rnacentral:rRNA from 1 species
AUGGGGAACGUGUUCGUGAAGAAGCCUAAGAUCACGGAGGUUGACAAGGCCAUCCUCGCCCUCAAGACGCAGCGCCGCAAGCUCGCGCAGUUCCAGCAGCAGCUUGAGAAGGUGAUCGAAGCAGAAAAGGAAGCUGCACGCCAGUUGGUUCAACAAAAGAAGAGAGACAGAGCUUUGAUUGCACUGAAGAAGAAGAAAUCCCAGGAAGAGCUCCUGAAACAAGUUGAUACAUGGCAAAUGAAUGUCGAACAGCAGCUGGCAGAUAUUGAACUAGCAAGCAAGCAAAAGGCUGUAUUGGAAAGCCUAAAGACUGGAAAUGCUGCCCUUAAGUCUAUACAGAGUGAGAUUAACAUCGACGAUGUCCAAAAGUUAAUGGAUGACACAGCUGAGGCCAAGGCUUAUCAGGAUGAAAUAAAUGCCGCUCUGGGUGAACAACUAUCUGCUGAGGAUGAGGAGGCUGUCAUGGCUGAAUUCGACAACUUGGAAGCUGAGCUUGCACUUGAGUCUCUGCCUGAUGCUCCCGUUACUGAAGUACAACCUGAAAAGAAAACUAAGGCGCCGGCUUACACUGAAGCUCCAGCUGAAGACAUUGAUGAUGUUAUUGAGCUUCCUGAUGUACCUACUAAAGCGCCAGAGAGGCCUGAAGCUCCAGAAAAAACAAAAGUCUUGGAAGAGCCACUACCUGCAUAG